rnacentral:lncRNA from 1 species
UAAAAGGUGGCAUUUUGGCUUUCCUCUUCGUCUCCGCUGCGUUGCUUGUUUACUCGGUCUUCACAAGUCAACCUCCCUGGUUUAUCUGCCCCGAAUGCCCGAACCCGACUGACAACAUCUCCAGAACAGCCUGUAACACCGAGGAAGGCCCUAUUUCCAGCCCGACCAACAUAACCCACAUCGUGUUCGGCAUCGGCGGGUCGACCUCGACGUGGAACGAUCGGAGCCACUAUUCAGCGCUGUGGUGGCAGGAUAGCGUCACACGCGGGUUCGUUUGGUUAGAUAAGGAACCCGACGCGGACACACAGUGGCCCGAGAACUCCCCUCCGUAUCGGGUCUCCUCCGACUGGACCCGGUUCAGGUACACAAGCUCGCAAUCAGCAGUCAGGCUCUCCAGGAUCGUGGUGGAUUCUUUCCGGGUCGGGUUACCGGAUGUGAGGUGGUUCGUGAUGGGAGACGACGAUACGGUGUUUUUCCCGGACAACUUAGUUACGGUGUUAGCCAAGUACGAUCACCGUCAGAUGUAUUAUGUUGGUGGGAAUUCGGAGAGCGUAGAGCAAGACACCAC